rnacentral:rRNA from 1 species
GACGAACGCUGGCGGCGUGCCUAAUACAUGCAAGUAGAACGCACAGUUUAUACCGUAGCUUGCUACACCAUAGACUGUGAGUUGCGAACGGGUGAGUAACGCGUAGGUAACCUGCCUGGUAGCGGGGGAUAACUAUUGGAAACGAUAGCUAAUACCGCAUAAUAUUAAUUAUUGCAUGAUAAUUAAUUGAAAGGUGCAAUUGCACCACUACCAGAUGGACCUGCGUUGUAUUAGCUAGUAGGUGAGGUAACGGCUCACCUAGGCGACGGUACAUAGCCGACCUGAGAGGGUGAUCGGCCACACUGGGACUGAGACACGGCCCAGACUCCUACGGGAGGCAGCAGUAGGGAAUCUUCGGCAAUGGACGAAAGUCUGACCGAGCAACGCCGCGUGAGUGAAGAAGGGUUUCGGAUCGUAAAGCUCUGUUGUAAGAGAAGAACGGGUGUGAGAGUGGAAAGUUCACACUGUGACGGUAUCUUAACAGAAAGGGACGGCUAACUACGUG